rnacentral:rRNA from 1 species
UAUGUGAUCGUCUCUCGCAUAUCAAUAAGCGGAGGAAAAGAAACUAACAAGGAUUCCCCUAGUAACGGCGAGUGAAGCGGGAAGAGCUCAAAUUUGAAAUCUUAAAGGGUUUCCCUUUACGAAUUGUAGUUUAAAGAAGUGUUUUCUGUUGAGGUUUUGGUAAAAGUUCUUUGGAAUAGGACAUCAUAGAGGGUGAGAAUCCCGUAUUUGACCUUUACUUUCAACUUUGUGAUACACUUUCAAAGAGUCGGAUUGUUUGGGAAUGCAGUCCAAAAUGGGUGGUAAAUUUCAUCUAAAGCUAAAUAUUGGCGAGAGACCGAUAGCGAACAAGUACCGUGAGGGAAAGAUGAAAAGAACUUUGAAAAGAGAGUUAAACAGUACGUGAAAAUUGUCAAAAGGGAAGCGUUUGACACCAGUGUUGUUUUUCUGAAAAUCAAUUAAAGAACUGUUUAUGCUAAGCUGUUUAGACUUUAUCAGCUAUCUGUUUAGUUUUGAGCUUUUCUUUAAUGCACUUUUCAGUUAACAAGUCAACAUCAAUUUCUUUUGCUGUAAAAAAGCUUGAGGAAGGUGGCUUGAGAUUCGUCUUAAGUGUUUAUAGCCUCUUGCCUAUGCAGUCGGAGAGAUUGAGGUCUGCAGCGUAGAUCCUUCGGGGCUAAAUGCAUUUGUGCUAAGUUAUAGCAUUUUAUAGACAACUUGUUGACUAUGAUUUGUCUUGUAGCUUACUCGCUUAUGUUAUUUUACCUACGCUUAGGAUGUUGAACGCGCACAGAGUCUC